GUGAGUAAACGCGCAAAGCGGA
rnacentral:miRNA from 1 species